rnacentral:rRNA from 1 species
UACGUAGGGUGCGAGCGUUAAUCGGAAUUACUGGGCGUAAAGCGUGCGCAGGCGGUUCGUUGUGUCGGCGGUGAAAGCCCCGGGCUUAACCUGGGAAUGGCCGUCGAAACUGGCGAACUGGAGUGUGGCAGAGGGGGGUGGAAUUCCGCGUGUAGCAGUGAAAUGCGUAGAGAUGUGGAGGAAUACCGAUGGCGAAGGCAGCCCCCUGGGUCAAUACUGACGCUCAUGCACGAAAGCGUGGGGAGCAAACAGG